rnacentral:lncRNA from 1 species
UGGGUCGAUACUCUAUCAUCCAUGGGAAUGAAACCCACUAGCUUCACCAACCUCCAAAUCGAGAUAUCACUGAUCACCAAGGAUAAAGUCCUGCAACCAUGCUAAUAUGGAAUGGAAUAGGAUGACACUUUGGCUACAUGUCGACCUCAUCCUAUCAGCUCUACUUGCCGCACAAGAAAGUAAUUGAAAUCUUCCAAUGACAUCCAGGAAUGUGGCUACGUGGGUGUAACAGGCAUCCACGACUAACAACUUAUUGGCUCAGGCCUAACAACCC